rnacentral:rRNA from 1 species
AGCGAACGCUGGCGGCAGGCCUAACACAUGCAAGUCGAGCGCCCCGCAAGGGGAGCGGCAGACGGGAGAGUAACACGUGGGAACGUACCCUUUGGUUCGGAACAACCCAGGGAAACUUGGGCUAAUACCGAAUAAGCCCUUACGGGGAAAGAUUUAUCGCCGAAGGAUCGGCCCGCGGCUGAUUAGCUAGUUGGUCAGGUAACGGCUCACCAAGGCGACGAUCAGUAGCUGGUCUGAGAGGAUGAUCAGCCUCACUGGGACUGAGACACGGCCAAGACGCCUCCGGGAGGCAGCAGUGGGGAAUAUUGGACAAUGGGCGCAAGCCUGAUCCAGCCAUGCCGCGUGGGUGAUGAAGGCCCUAGGGUUGUAAACCUCUUUCAGCAGGGACGAAGCGCAAGUGACGGUACCUGCAGAAGAAGCACCGGCCAACUACGUGCCAGCAGCCGCAGUAA